CUACGUGCCAGCAGCCGCGGUAAUACGUAGGGGGCAAGCGUUAUCCGGAUUUACUGGGUGUAAAGGGAGUGUAGACGGCGAUGCAAGUCUGAAGUGAAAGCCCGGUGCUCAACAUCGGGACUGCUUUGGAAACUGUAUAGCUGGAGUGCCGGAGAGGUAAGCGGAAUUCCUAGUGUAGCGGUGAAAUGCGUAGAUAUUAGGAAGAACACCAGUGGCGAAGGCGGCUUACUGGACGGUAACUGACGUUGAGGCUCGAAAGCGUGGGGAGCA
rnacentral:rRNA from 1 species